AUUAACCAAUCAGUCGUAUUCAUGAAUGUCAGUACCUCAGGCACAAGUGAGCGCCACUUUCUACCGUACAAAGACUCUUACGAUGCUGUUUUGAGCUCAGUUUGUGCAGAUAUUGAUUUAGAUGGGGAGCAAGAGAUUAUCUGGGUGCUUACUCUCAGGAACUCAUUGCGUACAAGUAUAUCAACUCUAGGUGGGAGCUCAUGGGGACAAGAGGUGUAUCCAGUUCUGUUCUUUGUAUGGCUCAUCUAG
rnacentral:lncRNA from 1 species